UACGAAGGGGGCUAGCGUUGCUCGGAAUCACUGGGCGUAAAGCGCACGUAGGCGGAUCUUUAAGUCGGGGGUGAAAUCCUGGAGCUCAACUCCAGAACUGCCUUCGAUACUGAAGAUCUCGAGUCCGGGAGAGGUGAGUGGAACUGAUGGUGGAGCGGUGAAAUGCGUUGAUAUCAUCAGGAACUCCGGUGGCGAAGGCGGCUCGCUGGACCUCUUCUGACGCUGAGGCGCGAAAGCCAGGGGAGCAAACGGG
rnacentral:rRNA from 1 species